ACAAUGCGGGACUAUCAGUCUUGCAAUUGGAUUGAGAACAAUGUACAACUCUUAUCGAUAAGCCAUUGGAGGGCAAGUCUGGUGCCAGCAGCCGCGGUAAUUCCAGCUCCAAUAGCGUAUAUUAACGUUGUUGCAGUUAAAAAGCUCGUAGUUGAAGUGUGGGUGAUCGCUGUUGUGAGACUUCGGUCUCUCGACAGUAAGUCACCCCCUUCCAGUAUCCAGUAGUGGGUAUUCAGUUACUUACUAUUGUGUGUUGGUCAUUUACUGUGAGAAAAUUAGAGUGUUCAAAGCAGGCGUUUGCUUGAAUAGAUUAGCAUGGAAUAAUAAUUGAAGGCUUUCGUGUUCGAUUUGAUUGGUUUGUUCAUGGAAGCAAGGUUAAAAGGAACAGUUGGGGGUAUUCAUAUUCACUAGUUAGAGGUGAAAUUCUCG
rnacentral:rRNA from 1 species